UGUUCUGUGGCUUGGUUAAAGCGCCGGUCUAGCGAAUACGGAGUCGUGGGUUCGAAUCCCACCAGAACGC
rnacentral:tRNA from 1 species